rnacentral:rRNA from 1 species
AUUGAACGCUGGCGGCAUGCUUUACACAUGCAAGUCGAACGGCAGCGCGGGCUUCGGCCUGGCGGCGAGUGGCGAACGGGUGAGUAAUACAUCGGAACGUGCCCAGUAGUGGGGGAUAGCUCGGCGAAAGCCGGAGUAAUACCGCAUACGACCUGAGGGUGAAGGCGGGGGAUCUUCGGACCUCGCGCUAUGGGAGCGGCCGAUGGCGGAUUAGCUAGUUGGUGGGGUAAAGGCCUACCAAGGCGACGAUCUGUAGCUGGUCUGAGAGGACGACCGGCCACACUGGGACUGGGACACGGCCCAGACUCCUACGGGAGGCAGCAGUGGGGAAUUUUGGACAAUGGGCGAAAGCCUGAUCCAGCAAUGCCGCGUGUGUGAUGAAGGCCUUCGGGUUGUAAAGCACUUUUGGCGGGAACGAAAAGGAUUGUGCCAAUACCACGGUUGGAUGACGGUACCCGCAGAAGAAGCACCGGCUAACUACGUG